UGGCCCAGAUCGUUUACCGUGAAAAAAUUAGAGUGUUCAAAGCAGGCAGAUCCAAUUUUCUGCCACCGAAUACAUUAGCAUGGGAUAAUGGAAUAGGACCCUGUCCUCCUAUUUUCAGUUGGUUUUGGCAGCGCGAGGACUAGGGUAAUGAUUAAUAGGGAUAGUUGGGGGCAUUAAUAUUUAAUUGUCAGAGGUGAAAUUCUUGGAUUUAUGAAAGAUUAACUUCUGCGAAAGCAUCUGCCAAGGAUGUUUUCAUUAAUCAAGAACGAAAGUUAGGGGAUCGAAGACGAUCAGAUACCGUCGUAGUCUUAACCAUAAACGAUGCCGACCAGCGAUUAGGAGACGUUGAAUACAAAACACCACCAUCGGUUGCGGUCRUCCUUGGCGUCUCGGUUCGGCCGGGGCGCGGGGAYGCUAGCCCGU
rnacentral:rRNA from 1 species